rnacentral:sRNA from 1 species
AUGGGAUCUCAUAAAACUGCAAAGCUUCUGUAAGGCAAAGGACACUGUGGAUAGCAUGUCUUUAAUCUCAGGUCUGGUAGCAGAGACAGGCGGCUCUGGACUCAUUGGCCAGGCAACCUAAGAGCCAAUGAGCUCUAGACCAAUGAGCAUGCGAUUUCAAAGCAGAAAGGUAACAUUUCUGAGUGUGAUGCCCAAGGCUGUCUUCAGGCUGUCACAUUCACAAAUACACAAAUGUAUGCAUACCUGCACACACAUGAACACAUGUAUAUGACAUGCAUAUAAAUAAGAAUUUGAAAAUAAUUAAACUCAUGAAAACGUAUGUAAUUUAGAAAAACUGGGCAGUCUAGGGAGACUAUCACUGUAAUACAGAAUCUCUUCAUUACGUUUUUUUCCCCCUCUGAAGUCAUACGCCAUCAAGAGCAAUUGACUAAGUUUCCAGUUUUGAGCAUUUUCUUUUCAUUCUGUCAGGAAUAUUAUACACCAACACACAUUUUUUAUGCCUCCGGACAGCUUCUUUAUGAUUUCCCAUGUUUUGUGGAGAUUGUUACCAUAACCACAUUGCAUUUGUUACAAACAGGAACUACAUUAGAACAGGUAUUAGACCGGAUUCCACCUCACUAGUGAGGGUAAGUAACUCCACACUAUAAAUAAGUUGGGUUAAUGUGUGAAUGAUGCGUUACCUGGGCCUGCAGCUGCCCAGGUGUUUCUUUAAGGGGUCUGCGAAGGAAGGGAAUAAACGUGCUGUGCAGAGGAUAGGAAAAUUAUUAUCAUCUGCUUUCCGAAAUUGAAGGAGAAUUUUAGCUCAGCAGAAACCUCUUGACUGCAAAAGUCUGAAAUUGCAUCCUGCUGGUAAGAAUGCCCGUUCGGGGUGGUGGGAAUUUGAACAUCCCUUUUUGCUUCAAAUCACGUAAAUGUUAUGAGUUUGGAAUGGAAGAAUGCUAUCUCUUCUUUGCAAAAGGAGAAGUGGCUUGUGACCCCUUAUGCCAACACUGAAGAGCAAAUUCCGAUUAGGAAAGUACUUCCUUUUUGCUUAAUAAGUAAUUUUAAUAGUUAUUUUUAAGGGAGAAAUCUUUGUCUUUGACAUAAACUUGAAUUCAAGUAUUUUAUUUUAACAUAGGAUAUUGCUUUCUAGACUUAAUUCACCAGUUGGACUUUCUGCUUAGUGGGACAUUUUUGGAAGUUAAGCUUAUUUUCAGGACAAAUGCUUUUGGUUAUUCAUAAAAAUUCUGUUCAUUCAUGAUUCUAUACUUCUGCUUUACAUCCCAUCAGGCUUCCUUAGUCUCUGCGUCUUUUUGGUUAAUACUUUGGGGGCCUGCAUUUUAGCUUUUCCUGAAUCUAAUAUUUUAAACUCAGAAUUGUUUGUUUCACUGCCUUUGUCUAUUUUUCCACUUUUGUCUUCUCCAAGUAACUUGCUGUGCAUUGCAUUCCUAUGUUUUGCACUGUAGUCUAAUGUGCAAAACACUCUGUUUAAAAAAAAAGAAUAAGCAAUUUUUUUCAUUUACUGAUAUUGAAGAGAGAUGUGUUUUCUUCUUAGGAUUUUGAAAAGUUUGUUUUCCUUGAGCAGGAUAUAUGUAGCUUUGAAAAUUAUGUAUCACUCAGGAGGCAGAGGCAGAUGAAUGCAUGGGUUCCAGGUUGGCCAGGGCUACACAGAGAAACCCUGUCUCAAAAACAAAAUUAAAGGAAAAGAAAAGGAGAGAGAAAAUAGUUUACAGUGAGUGAUGCUUCUCUUAACUUCAUAUGGUAACCUGAUCUCUUGGGACAUGAGAAUGCUUGUUAUACCCCUAUGAACAGAUGGAGAAAAUGGUGUAUAUUUUUCUCUUCCAUUUUUUUCCAGAUAAAAAUUCAACAAUACCAAUUCUAUUCUUCUCGUUUUAUUUCUAUAUUUCUUUUAUUUCUUUGGAAACACAACGUCAUGAAGGGGAGGAUGGCUUUGAACUCUCACUGGUAGCCUCUCCUACCUCCACCUCUUAAGUGGUGGUGUUAAAGGCAUGAACCACCACUUUAGGCUCCAACACAACUUACGAUAUUCUUACAUUCUUCCACAUUCCUGCAUUGCUUAUACUUGUAUAAUUUGAUUUGGUAUAUUUAAAUGACAUCUCCUGAUUUUCAGGCAUUGAGAAGAAAGCUACCCUCUGUACACUCAAAACACUUUGUAUUACAUCCUAUGUUUUUGUUAGUCAUUUCGAUUCUGUACUUUAAUGACAUCAUACUUCAUAUUCGAGUCUGUCAUUGGAUUUAUCUCCCUAGUUGAAGGCACCCAGUGCUCACAAUCAAUCCUUUUGUGUUUUUAUCAACAAUCAGUUUUUUUUCCACCUUUAGUGGCUGUUUCCGAAAGGGCUUAUGAUGAUAUUGUUGCCAGAGAGUCUGCACGGGCAGGAUAUUUGCUUCCAAAUUUUAUGUGUUAGGAGCUGGCUCAACUGGUCAUCAAAUCAGUGAUUCCCACAAAGCUGGGAUAGGAAUUAUUCCAGGACACCCUCUACAUGGUUAGAUAAGGCCUCUUAAAUAUUUCCCUUCUCCAAGAUAAAAGCAAUGAGCCACAGACGAAAACUUCUAAACAGCAGUAUGACUCCAGCCUCAUGGGCUUAACAUUCUGUCCAGUUAGUACAGGACACACACUGUACCAGCUGUCCCUGCACUCUCCCCACGGCCUGUAGAGCUAUCAUUUAGGAAUGUUUAGGGAUGGAAAGGGCCGCUGAGAUAUCCAAUGCAAAGGUAUUAUUUUAGGCUGAAGAAAAGGAAUGGGAAGGAACUGGAAGAAGGAAAGAGGGUUAUUUUCCUUUGGUUGUUUUUUGGUUUUGUAUCUUAUGGCUAAGCCACUACUAGUAAGCUGUUAAGCUUUGUACCGCAGUGAGAUCCAUGAAAGGACCCUUUCUACUUCCUCUGUCCUCUAGAAAUUCCAUGGGCAGAAGUGUGUCACUGCAAGUAAGAGGGCAUAGCAGGUGCCUGACACAUGGGAGAGUUCACCGUGUCUGAUAGCUCUUGUUAUUUUCCACAUUCUACCUAUGGAAUGGCACGCAGGUGGCGGGAUUCUGCUUUUCAGUGGGGUUUGUUGUUAACUACAUACGCAGCCAUUUUAUUUUCUGUUUCUUUUUAGAAUGAGAUUUUUUUUGAAUAUUUAAUUAUUCAUUUGUGCACAUGAAUAUGGGUGCUUGGGGAGGCCAAAGGUUUCAGAUCACCUACAGUUGGAGUUACAGGUGGUCGUGAGCCACCUAUGAGGGGGUGAGGAAUCAAACUCUUACAUCAUUUUGAGACGCCACUAGCUUGUGCUCAAGGUAUAGGCCAGAUUCUUUGUUCAAUACACACAUUUGGCCCAAAAAAUUCAUUAACAAAUGUUGCCAUUAAACUCAGGAGGUAAUUACUUUGGAUACAUAUGGAAUGAACAAAAUCCUAGGCCAACUGCAGGUGGAAGAAAUAAGGUUGAAGCUAGCCAUGUGUUAUACAAGAGACUUAAGAACAAAGACAUCAACAGCAGUGCAACAAACACACAGUUAUCCUCCAAAUGGAAGAAUCAAUACAGUUAGCAAAUUCCAGAAAGCAUGUCGGAGUUAUCUAAUACUGGCAAUGAGGAGCAUUUCCAAGGAAUUGGUUAUUAGAUCUGAAAUUAGUAAUGUGUAAUAAAGAGAGAUGCAUGCCGAAUUUUGUUCUCCUGUAACAGCACAGUUGAAGGGUUGCAUCUAAAAAUCUAUUCAACUUAACUACUAUUCCCAUGCUCAAUAAUGAAAUAUAGUUUCAGAUACAAGACUUUGCUUGAGACUACUUUAGACAACAAUCAUAGAUCUGUCAUGUCAAUGUUUUUCAAUUUAAUUUUUCUAAUAGUCUGGAUGGUUAGCCUAUGUGCACCAUGUGAAUACAGUGUAUAUGGAGGUUGGAAGAGAGACAUCAGUCUUUCUGGAACCAGAGUUUGAGGCUGCCGUGAGGUGCCAUAUAUGCUAAGAAUCAAACUCACAUCCUUACAAAGAAUAGUCAGUGCUCUUAUCCACGGAGCAAUUUCCUCAGCUCCUCCCACACCUUUCUAAAAUGUCAAAUUUUUUCAGAUAAGUAAAUACAUUUUUUUAGGCUUUUAAAAUAUUUUCAGCUUAUAUUAAGGAUGGAGCUUUUAGUGGACUCAGAGAGUAUUAUGCUAAGCAAAAUAAAAAGAUUCUGAAGGACAAAUUUUGGAGGAGUUCUACCAUAUAUUAAUGUGGAACGUUUUAAGGCAGAAAAAGAGAAGGGGGACCAUAUGGGAGGAAGAAGGAACCACACAGGUGAGUCAAGUCAAGAUGAAGCCUGUCAGAGGUGAAUAGGAUCAGAGGGCUCUCAAUGUGUGAGUAAAAUGUCACCAGUUAUUCUAAUAAAUAACAUACGCUAAUAAUAACACCUCAGUUAGAAAUCGUGUCAGAUGAUGAUAACUAUCGGAAUUAUUUUGAUUAAGUAAUAUUCUUAUUCUAUUUGACUAUCUCCUGAUGCAUUUCCAGCUUAAAAAAAUAAAAGACAAUAGGACCACGUUGAAUGAUAGUUUAAUAACUUUCUGUAUUUACUUAUAUAGAUUGUGAAUAUUUUUUAUGCUGGUAAUUUUUAUGUAUACAUUGACUUCUCAACAUGUUGAGACCAAUAAGCUUAUUUUAAUAUCUUUAUAUGUUUCAUGAAUUUCUUAUUACACGUGAUCAUAAUCAUUGCAAAAUAGGUGGUGUAUUUCUUCAUGGUCAGUCACAUCCGGCCAGGUGGUUGUUUCCUGUUCUUCCUGUUGGACUUUUAUUCUCCAGGUUAGAAAGAGAAAAGGAAUCCUAAGGGGACCAGGUCUUGGGAGCUCAAUUGAGCCUUCCUCCUCUCAGAUUUUAUGCUGCUGUGAUUCCAUAACAUUUCUGCCAUUUAAUUUCUCUUCAUAUAUUGCUGAGCAUUGCACCUGUCUCAUACAGGGUCCUGAGAUCGUGUUGGAACUGUGAUUUAAGAACAGAGUCUGAUAAAUAUGCUUAUGAUAGUAAGGUAAUUCACCUGAAGACAUGAUUCUGCUUGCCCUCACCUGCUCCACUGCUAGGAAAGAAGAGGAAGAAGUAAGGAAAAAGGAACAAGAAGACUCGUGACUCUGUAGAAUGUCCAGGGUUUAAGUGAUGAAGAAGAAAAUUUAAACGUGAGCUUGAAGAAGAAUGAGAAAAUUGCUAUGUUAAAACUUCGUGAUUUAAUGCUUUAAUGACCUGUGUCCUGAACAGGAGGUGUUGGUCCUCAGAUGUGAUAGAUUUUCAUUCAGGUGAGCAGGAGGCUGUCUGGAAGGACAGACACACUAUGGCUGCCUAGCAUCCACAUCUGUACAUCCCCUCUCUGUCCAGAACUUCACUUAGUUAUGCGCAACCUCAGUGUUGGUCUUUGAAGUCUUGCCAAAGUGGAAAUGAUGUUUUAGUGCUGUUAGAAAGUAAAUAGAGAAGGAAGUGGGAAAAUCUCUGUGAAAUGACUACGAGAAGAGAGCUCAUAAAAUGAAAAUUUUAGCAUGAAGACCUAAGCUCCAAGCAAUGCCACCAUGGCAUUCCGAUUCCGCCCAGCAAAGCACUGUAGAAAUAGGGACCAGCCCUUGAAUCAAAGGAAAAGUCCCGUGCAAAGUGAAGGCAGGGUGAGUGGAAGCGAAGCACCGUCUUCAAGUGGAAUCUAAUAGAGAAACCCAAUAUGGCAAAAAGACAAUAGAGAAGCUAGGUACAUAACUAUGGAGGCAUGGGUUGGGCAGGUAAUGUGUCAUUUUCCUCAAUCUGAGAUACCUCUAGAUAACAUUUAGAACUCCGUGGCUCAGAGUACAGAAAUCAACUGGAAAGCUCUCAGCAGUAAACAACCUUAUAUUCCAAGUAAACAAGCUUAUAUUUAUUUGUUGUUUCUUAGUGUCCUCAGUUCCUCCAUAUACCCAGUAUAUGGUUUGGAAGGAAUUGACUCUUUUCAUGUCUCUGGGGGUGGAACCUGAUUGGCAUAAACCGGAUAUCAUCUCAUCUCCAGGUCACUCUAAUUGGUUCAGGGUUGACUCACUAGGUUAGUAUCCUAAAACACGCAAGCAGAGGAAUUGCACAUUGUCAUGUUGUGACGGUGACAGAGGAAGUGAAUAAGGCUGGGAUCAGCGCUGAGGAACAACAGCGAGAACCAAAGAUGAAUUCAUUGAAACAAAUUCAUCGCUGUGCUGGAUCAAGAGUCCUCGGAAACCAGCUGAUUAUUGUCGCUACUCCUUAAAUCAGUUCUUAACUGGGACUUCCGCCAUACAGGGAAGCUCUGUGACUACUGUCAGUUGUGUCUCAGCACCCACAAGAAUACCCAGCGUGAACAGGUAGCACACUAAUUGGUAACUAACAGAGGUAAGAACCGUGGCUCGAAUUCCCUGCUUGGCCCUAAGUGGUAAUUUUACUUAACUACUCCAAAUCUCAUUUCCUUUAUUUGAAAAACCAAAGAGUUCCCCCGAUUCGUUAUUAAAAAAAUAAAGCCAUUCCUCUGCUCACACGAAGUCAUUGUGACUUAAUGCAGAUUGUUGCUGUAGUGAUCUCAGACACACUAAAGACUGAGAGCUGAGGUAGCACUGAUAUCAGCACAUAAGCUAAGCCCUCGGAGAAUUUUCAUUAGGCAAGGGUUAAAGCAGUUCUGUUCCUGCCUCAGCUGACUGCCUGAGUGUGAAAUUAUGGUAGUUCAUAGAUGAUGCACAUCGGAAACCUGGGAGAAACAAGCAGGGUCAUCAUCGUUCCUUUUGUAAUUUCCUGAAUGUGGAGCUGAGGCUCAGGAAAAUUGUUGAACAAAAUUGUGAUUCUCGAAUUCUUAAUCGAAAUUAAAUCUGGUGAUGAGUUUUUGUUCAGAAUACAGAGAGGAAUGUUUUCAUUUAGGAAAAUGCACUCUCUCUGUAGUUGGUCUAGUUUUAAGCUGAGCCUGUCUGAGACUUCUGGCAAAGCACCAUCAGAUCUAUCACCUUUGACCUCAGGGCAGGGAGGAAGUAGAAGCUAUAUCUUUUUGUAAUUUCCAUGGUUAAGGUUGUUCUUAGUUACAAUCUAGGGCAAACUUAUCAGAUAAAUAAACAAGUGAGAUCCACAAGGAAUGUUAAUUUUUCAAUUUUAAAUUUUUGAUGGAUGUAUUUAAUAAAGAGAAAACAAGUUAACUUAAUUUUAGUAAUUUUAUUUAGCCUGUUAUACUAAAGCCCUUGUUUCAGUACGUAACAAUUGUAAAAAUAGGGAGAUAUUUUGAAUCUCUUUUGGUGCCAUAUCUUUCUGCUGUUGUUUAUU